AGCAGCCGCGGUAAUUCCAGCUCCAAUAGCGUAUAUUAAAGUUGUUGCAGUUAAAAAGCUCGUAGUUGAAUUUCGGGAUCAAUGUUUCGGUCAUGCCGUUGGUAUGUACUGAUAUUAUUGGUUUCUCACCUUCUAAAGAACCGUAAUGCCAUUAAUUUGGUGUCGCGGGGAAUUAGGACUGUUACCUUGAAAAAUUAGAGUGUUUAAAGCAGGCUCACGCUUGAAUACAUUAGCAUGGAAUAAUGAAAUAGGACAUCCGAUUCUAUUUUGUUGGUUUCUAGGAUCGAUGUAAUGAUUAAUAGGGAUAGUUGGGGGCAUUAGUAUUCAAUUGUCAGAGGUGAAAUUCUUGGACUUAUUGAAGACUAACUACUGCGAAAGCAUUUGCCAAGGAUGUUUUCAUUAAUCAAGAACGAAAGUUAGGGGAUCGAAGACGAUCAGAUACCGUCGUAGUCUUAACCAUAAACUAUGCCGACUAGGGAUCGGAUGAUGUUAAUUUUUAAUGACUCAUUCGGUCG
rnacentral:rRNA from 1 species